GACGAACGCUGGCGGCGUGCUUAACACAUGCAAGUCGAACGAAGUGGCGAACGGGUGAGUAACGCGUAAUCAACCUGCCCUUCAGAGGGGGACAACAGUUGGAAACGACUGCUAAUACCGCAUACUGAAGGAGGGGAUUGCGUCUGAUUAGCUAGUUGGAGGGGUAACGGCCCACCAAGGCGAUGAUCAGUAGCCGGUCGGAGAGGAGGAACGGCCACAGUGGGAAGGGGAGACGGCCCAGAACCCUAGGGGAGGCAGCAUUGGGGAAUCUUUCGAAAUGGAAGAAAGUCUGACGGAGCAACGCCGCGGGAGUGAUGACGGCCUUCGGGUUGUAAAGCUCUGUUAAUCGGGACGCGGUACCGGAAGAGAAAGCCACGGCUAACUACGUGCCAGCAGCCGCGGUAAUAC
rnacentral:rRNA from 1 species